AAAAAAAUAGAAAAAUUACAUCAAAGUGCUAACAAAACAAUUCAUCAUAAUGUUGGGCUUAGAAAGCGAGCAUACACUCAGUUGUAUCAUCAUAAUCGACUAAGUAAGUAUUUCAUCAAUUCAGCAUAACACAUCGACAAUUUUCCAUUGUCAAAUCUCACCGAAGAUUUUUUUUUAUAGGCAAUGAGAUAAGUGAGACAACAAGUUGUUUCUGACAGACAGAUACCCCAUCCUAUGCCGCCUACUCAUAAUAUAUUAAAUCCCACCAAAGAUAAAGUGAUGUAAUUUCAAAUAAUAGAUGUUGAAUAAAAAUAAUUAGCGUCGAAACGAAUGACAUCCAAAAAUUAAAAUUUAAGAUUAAUUAUUUUUUAUGCAAAUGAUAUCCAAAACAAAUAAAACAUCUCAUCAUAAUAUUGUGACUGUUGGGGGAGC
rnacentral:lncRNA from 1 species